UACGGAGGGAGCUAGCGUUGUUCGGAAUUACUGGGCGUAAAGCGCACGUAGGCGGCUUUUGUAAGUUAGAGGUGAAAAGCCCCGGAGCUCAACUCCGGAACUGCCUUUAAGACUGCAUCGCUUGAAUCCAGGAGAGGUGAGUGGAAUUCCGAGUGUAGAGGUGAAAUUCGUAGAUAUUCGGAAGAACACCAGUGGCGAAGGCGGCUCACUGGACUGGUAU
rnacentral:rRNA from 1 species